rnacentral:rRNA from 1 species
CGCGGCCUAUCAGCUUGUUGGUGGGGUAGUGGCUUACCAAGGCUUUGACGGGUAGCCGGCCUGAGAGGGUGACCGGCCACAUUGGGACUGAGAUACGGCCCAGACUCCUACGGGAGGCAGCAGUGGGGAAUAUUGCACAAUGGGCGGAAGCCUGAUGCAGCAACGCCGCGUGCGGGAUGACGGCCUUCGGGUUGUAAACCGCUUUCGCCUGUGACGAAGCGUGAGUGACGGUAAUGGGUAAAGAAGCACCGGCUAACUACGUGCCAGCAGCCGCGGUGAUACGUAGGGUGCGAGCGUUGUCCGGAUUUAUUGGGCGUAAAGGGCUCGUAGGUGGUUGAUCGCGUCGGAAGUGUAAUCUUGGGGCUUAACCCUGAGCGUGCUUUCGAUACGGGUUGACUUGAGGAAGGUAGGGGAGAAUGGAAUUCCUGGUGGAGCGGUGGAAUGCGUAGAUAUCAGGAGGAACACCAGUGGCGAAGGCGGUUCUCUGGGCCUUUCCUGACGCUGAGGAGCGAAAGCGUGGGGAGCGAACAGGCUUAGAUACCCUGGUAGUCCACGCUGUAAACGGUGGGUACUAGGUGUGGGGUCCAUUCCACGGGUUCCGCGCCGUAGCUAACGCUUUAAGUACCCCGCCUGGGGAGUACGG